GUGACAUUGAUCUGCCUGACUUGGUCCUGUCUGUGUGUCCCUGUAAGAUACACCUCUGAGGUAGCUAAGUGUUCCUUACUUCUGGGUUGUAUAUUCAACAAGGAACAGCUUGUGGUUUCUCAGUCUCAUUUCGAUUUUCUGCCACAAGCAACUAAAUUACAGACCUCCUUUGUGGGCUGACUGAAGUCAGCAUGGUGCCUGUAAAGUCCAGAGACAGCUCAAAUCCCCUGGAACUGUAGUCACAGACAGCUGUGAGCCACUGAGUGGGUGCUGGGAUUAGAGUCUGGAUCCUCUACACAAGCAGUACUGUCUGUUUGUGGGGUGAGAGUUGGGCAGGAUCUCUCAACCACCUGGAACUCACCAAGUAGGCUAAGCUGACUAGCCAGCCUCAAGGAUCCACCAGCUCCCGCCUCCUGCCCAGUGCAGGAUUGUAA
rnacentral:lncRNA from 1 species